GACGAACGCUGGCGGCGUGCUUAACACAUGCAAGUCGAACGGAAAGGCCCUGCUUUUGUGGGGUGCUCGAGUGGCGAACGGGUGAGUAACCCGUGAGUAACCUGCCCUUGACUUUGGGAUAACUUCAGGAAACUGGGGCUAAUACCGGAUAGGAGCUCCUGCUGCAUGGUGGGGGUUGGAAAGUUUCGGCGGUUGGGGAUGGACUCGCGGCUUAUCAGCUUGUUGGUGGGGUAGUGGCUUACCAAGGCUUUGACGGGUAGCCGGCCUGAGAGGGUGACCGGCCACAUUGGGACUGAGAUACGGCCCAGACUCCUACGGGAGGCAGCAGUGGGGAAUAUUGCACAAUGGGCGGAAGCCUGAUGCAGCAACGCCGCGUGCGGGAUGACGGCCUUCGUGUUGUAAACCGCUUUCGCCUGUGACGAAGCGUGAGUGACGGUAAUGGGUAAAGAAGCACCGGCUAACUACGUG
rnacentral:rRNA from 1 species